ACCAACUCAGAGCCUUCAUAAAAUCGUACCCUGCGGACAACACGGCCGGAGGGGCCUCCAUGAAAUCCAACCCGGGGAGACAGCACUCCCUAAGUAGAGUUGGAGGAAUCUGUGGGGACACUUUGGGUUGUCACAGUGGCACUGAGUGAUGGCAGCCAGGGAUGCUGGAUGGCGAGCAAUGCCCUGGCGAGAACAAUCAAAACCUGUCCUGCAUUCCAUACACUUCUGGAGUGUUCCUCAGACACCAGGGUUCCCCAUCCUGCGGUCACAAAAGUCCUGGCAUGUCCUUGGGGACUAUCCUAGGUCAGAAUUGCUCAGGGAAAUGAAGGCUCUGGGAUGCAGAACGGAGAAUGCUUUGCUUCUAGAGCAAGAUUAACUAAGUACCACAUGGGAAAACACAAUAUCUGAAAAAAGAUGAGAGGUCCAGAAGAAAGGGAGAUGAAUGACUUCAAACCACCAAUACCUUGAGCUGAAUGCCAGGUUCUGCAACUGCUCGGAAUGGGGUGGCUUGCCAAUAUGUCUGCUCCGUCUGCUUCCACAUGACCACGUAGAAGCUGGAGCUAUCUUGGUAGCCAAAGAUAAAGCCUGCAUAGUCAUCAUCUGUCUGGGUAUUCACAUGGAAGGUCCCUUCGAAGUCAACUCCAUUAAAAGCUGUGUACCCUGUAGGGACCAGAUAAGAUUAGAACAAUAGACAAACCACACUAGUAGCUGGAAGAAUUCUAUGUGAGUGGCAACUGAGGCCCUGGACAUACCCACUGCCAGGCCAGGAUCACUGUUCAUGGUCUGUACAAUCUCCAUGCCCUGCAGAGAGAGUUGAGGGAGUUCAGAACAGUCUUGAAGGGGCCAAGUAACCUUAAGGAAGCUCAAAACCUCAGGCACCAUAUGAGUGAGUGGCCAGUGAUGUCUGACCUCCAUAUAAAGAUUUCAUUAUCUGAAAUAGUUGCUCUAUUGUGUUAUGUGCUCAAAGAAAGCAUGUGCUUGUAAAGGUUAAAAAAAAGCUCAAAGCUGAAUAGAAAUAAGUUUGCUGAGACUGUCACUUAAGCUGAUUGGACAGGCCCUUAACUGGGGAGCAUACAACAUAUACUUCUAAUCAAUGUGACUUGCUCUGUGACUCUGGAAAAUCUACUAAGCCUCUCUGUGCCUGCACUUCUUAGUUACACAAUGAGGAGGAUAUGCAGAAGGCAGUCUGCUGCAGAGAUCAGAAGUGUGGGUUCUAGGGUCAGACUGCCUGGGUCCCAAUUCCAGUCAUCUCAGCUACUUACCACAGUGCUACCAUCAUUAAAGCUGCUACAAUCAUGAAA
rnacentral:lncRNA from 1 species